UGAGUAACCUGCCCUUCACUCUGGGAUAACUCCGGGAAACCGGGGCUAAUACUGGAUAUGACUCGAACAGGCAUCUGUUUCGGGUGGAAAGAUUUAUUGGUGGAGGAUGGACUCGCGGCCUAUCAGCUUGUUGGUGAGGUAAUGGCUCACCAAGGCGACGACGGGUAGCCGGCCUGAGGAGGGGUCGAUCGGCCACACUGGGACUGAGACACGGCCCAGACUCCGUACGGGAGGCCGA
rnacentral:rRNA from 1 species